rnacentral:lncRNA from 1 species
UCGUCGACUGAUGAAAGCAAUUUUUAGCAAACUGGGGUGUUGUAGCGCAGAUAUUCCUGCGCCAAGUGCUGAUUCAGAUUGAGGUUCAGGAUCGGGUUGCCUCUUUUUGUUGUUUUGGCGUUUUCUUGACAAAAAGGGGGAGAUGAUGAUGAUGCUAGUUAGUUUUAUGAUGAUGCUAGUUGAUGUUUAGUUUUAUGAUGAUGCUAUGAUGAUGCUAGUUGAUGUUUAGUUUUAUGAUGAUGCUUUGCAUUUUGAUUUGAACUCUGAUACUCAUACUUGAACUCUGAUACUCUUGACUUGUUAAUUGAAUUCAUUGCAAAUCUCGAUGAGGUGUGUGGAGAAUGUAUUGCAGGGUAUUUCAAGACUUCGAGACUCCAUGUCAUGUCUUAAGUCAUAGAGUUUGUAUUAGGAUGUGAAAGAUGUAUUUUUAUUUUUAUUGGAUCGAUCAUGCAGAAGAUUGUCGUUUGGUGAUUGCGAUAAUCUUCUUAUUUUAUUUUUGGAUGAGUAUUGUAAUGAUUUUGUAUUUUGUCACGAAAUAGCCAAAGGGGGAGAUUGUUAAGGAUUUUUUCUAGGUUGGCGACUUUCGUGAAGUUUGAUGGAGUCUCGAAGAGUUAGAAGACGAAGUUUGAAGAAAGAAUUGGAAUUUGGAGGUCAAAGACUUUGUUCACAUUUUUGGGAUCUCAGGUAUGAUUAUAAAUAGUUUGUGGUGAGAUUUUAUUAUUAAAAUAUGUUUAGAAGACUUAGAUUGUGUUUUUGUUGAUCAAACUAGACUUUUCUAUAAAUCUCAGGGCUCAGGGACCGGUCCUUGAUCAGAGGGACCGGACCCAUCAAGUCUUCACUGCGUAGAAGUUUUGGGAGACCGGUCUCUGGUCAUGAGGACCGGUUCCCGUAAGUGGUUUAUCUUGUUGCGCAGGGAGGGACCGGUCUCUGAAUUGAGGACCGGUCCCCGUACGCAUGUUUCUCAGCUAUGCAGCGAAGGACCGGUCUCCAACUUGGAGGACCGGUCCCCCAAGGACCGGUCUCCUCGGGAGGACCGGACCCUGAGACCGUCGUCAGUUUUUAAAAUUGAGUUUUUGAAAUCCUAGUCCAUCUAGAAGCCUUCUAA